UUUGACCUCAAAUCAGGUAGGACUACCCGCUGAACUUAAGCAUAUCAAUAAGCGGAGGAAAAGAAACUAACAAGGAUUCCCCUAGUAACUGCGAGUGAAGCGGGAAAAGCUCAAAUUUGAAAUCUGGCGGUUUUUGACCGUCCGAGUUGUAAUCUAGAGAAGUGUUACCUGUGCUGGACCGUGUAAAAGUCUCCUGGAAUGGAGCAUCAUAGAGGGUGAGAAUCCCGUCUUUGACAUGGACGACCAGUGCGUCGUGGUGCGCUCUCAAAGAGUCGAGUUGUUUGGGAAUGCAGCUCAAAAUGGGUGGUAAAUGCCAUCUAAAGCUAAAUAUUGGCGAGAGACCGAUAGCGAACAAGUACCGUGAGGGAAAGAUGAAAAGCACUUUGGAAAGAGAGUUAAACAGUACGUGAAAUUGCUGAAAGGGAAACGCUUGAAGUCAGUCACGUCGGCUAGAAAUCAGCCUUGCUUCUGCUCGGUGUACUUUCUGGUUGACGGGUCAGCAUCAAUUUCGACCGCUGGACAAAGUCUUUGGGAAUGUGGCAUCCUCGGAUGUGUUAUAGCCCAUCGUCGCAUGCAGUGG
rnacentral:rRNA from 1 species